rnacentral:rRNA from 1 species
GAUGAACGCUGGCGGCGUGCCUAAUACAUGCAAGUCGAGCGAACGGACGAGAAGCUUGCUUCUCUGAUGUUAGCGGCGGACGGGUGAGUAACACGUGGAUAACCUACCUAUAAGACUGGGAUAACUUCGGGAAACCGGAGCUAAUAGCGGAGGAUAUUUUGAACCGCAUUGUUCAAAAGUGAAAGACGGUGUUGCGGUCACGACUCGAUGGAUCUGCGCUGCAUUGGCGAGUUGGUGAGGUAACGGCUUACCAAGGCAACGAUGCCUGGCCGACCUGAGAGGGUGGUCGGCCACCCUGGGACUGAGACACGGUCCAGUGUCCCACGGGAGGCAGCCGUAGUGCAUCUUCCGCCAUGGGCGAGAGCCUGACCGCGCAGCGCCGCGUGCGUGAUGAAGGUCUUCGGAUCGUAAAACUCUGUUAUUAGGUAAGAACAUAUGUGUAAGUAUCUGUGCACAUCUUGACGGUACCUAAGCAGAAAGCCACGGCCAACUUCGUGC